AGAUUGAACGCUGGCGGCAUGCCUAACACAUGCAAGUCGAACGGGAGUAGCAAUACUCUAGUGGCGGACGGGUGAGGAAUACGUAGGAAUUUGCCCUUAAGUGGGGGAUAACCCGGGGAAACCCGGAUUAAUACCGCAUGACCUCGAAAGAGCAAAGUGGGGGAUCGCAAGACCUCACGCUUUUGGAGAAGCCUACGUCGGAUUAGCUAGUUGGUGAGGUAAUGGCUCACCAAGGCGACGAUCCGUAACUGGUCUGAGAGGAUGAUCAGUCACACCGGAAUGAGACACGGUCCGACUCCGUACGGGAGCAGCAGGUAGGGAAUAGUGGACAAGUGGG
rnacentral:rRNA from 1 species